UGAAUUAAAGCAAUUAAAGUAACCAUUCACGAAGUUGUAGGAGCUAGUUACUAUAUAUUUAUAGAUGACAAGAUGUUGCAGAAUUUAGGUAAUAAUAACUAGGGGUGAUAGGCUUUCCACAUUCAACGAUAACUUGAUGACUAAGAAAUGUAUUAGUACGAUGGCACUCUUGGAGUGAUAAGGUUCCAAGAUAACACAAAUAAGGAUUGACAUCUAGUAUCUUAUUUAAUCAUAAAUACAACUCGUAGUUAAUAUUUAUUUCCUUGUGUUGUUUUAACUAUUAGUCUAUUAAUGGAAUUUCUUUAUAUAUAAAUAAUGUUCAUAUUAGUAACAAACACCUGUUAAUAAUGAACUCGGCAAAAGACCUUUCAACUGUUUACCAAAAACAUAGCUAUAUGAUAAAAUAUAUAGUACUUUCUGCUCAAUGAGUUUUAAAUAGCCGCAGUACCCUGACUGUGCUAAGGUAGCGUAAUCAUUUGACUUUUAAUUGAAGUCCUGUAUGAAAGAAACUAUGGGGGGUCUCUUUAUCAUUGACAAUUAUUGAAAUUACUUAAGAAGUGCAAAUUCUUCUAUGAAAAUAAAAGACGAGAAGACCCUAGAAAUUUUACAGAAAUAACUUUUUGUUGGGGCAACAGAGUAGUAAUUAAUCUACUGCAAAGACAAGAAAAUUCUAUUUUGAAAGAUUAAAUUACUCUAGGGAUAACAGCAUAAUUUUUAAUAGUUUGUGACCUCGAUGUUGGAUUAGGGAAUUAACAUUUAGAAG
rnacentral:rRNA from 1 species